rnacentral:rRNA from 1 species
AUUGAACGCUGGCGGCAUGCUUUACACAUGCAAGUCGAACGGUAGAGGGGGCAACCCCUUGAGAGUGGCGAACGGGUGAGUAAUGCAUCGGAACGUGCCCAGUCGUGGGGGAUAACGCAGCGAAAGCUGGGCUAAUACCGCAUACGAUCUCUGGAUGAAAGCGGGGGACCGAAAGGCCUCGCGCGAUUGGAGCGGCCGAUGUCAGAUUAGGUAGUUGGUGGGGUAAAGGCUCACCAAGCCAACGAUCUGUAGCUGGUCUGAGAGGACGACCAGCCACACUGGGACUGAGACACGGCCCAGACUCCUACGGGAGGCAGCAGUGGGGAAUUUUGGACAAUGGGCGCAAGCCUGAUCCAGCAAUGCCGCGUGCAGGAAGAAGGCCUUCGGGUUGUAAACUGCUUUUGUACGGAACGAAAAGGUCUGGGUUAAUACCCUGGGCACGUGACGGUACCGUAAGAAUAAGCACCGGCUAACUACGUGCCAGCCGCCGCCGCCG